UACGUAGGGUGCGAGCGUUUGUCCGGAAUUAUUGGGCGUAAAGGGCUCGUAGGCGGCCAACUAAGUCGGAUGUGAAAUCCCCAGGCUCAACUUGGGAACUGCAUCCGAUACUGGAUGGCUUGAAUUCGGGAGAGGGAUGCAGAAUUCCAGGUGUAGCGGUGAAAUUCGUAGAUAUUGGGAAGAACACCGGUGGCGAAGGCGGCUCUCUGGACCGAUACUGACGCUGAGGCGCGAAAGCGUGGGGAGCAAACAGG
rnacentral:rRNA from 1 species